rnacentral:rRNA from 1 species
UACGUAGGGUGCGAGCGUUAAUCGGAUUUACUGGGCGUAAAGCGUGCGCAGGCGGCCCGUUAAGACAGGUGUGAAAUCCCUGGGCUCAACCUAGGAAUUGCGCUUGUGACUGGCGGGCUCGAGUACGGUAGAGGGGGGUGGAAUUCCUGGUGUAGCGGUGAAAUGCGUAGAUAUCGGGAAGAACGCCGGUGGUGAAGACGGUCUCCUGGGCUACUCCUGACGCUGAGGCGCGAAAGCUAGGGGAGCGAACGGG